UUUCCAGCAUCAGACACUCAACAUUUUGUGUCUCUGUGUUGGAAUAAGAGCCCAGGAAGUGCAAACUUCCCCAAACUGUCCUGCCAAUGGGCCUUUCUGACCUAGAGGGGGGAUCACCUUUAUAGUGACAGGAUAAUUUGAUCUCAGUGCCAUCUAAUCCUUAUUUUCU
rnacentral:sRNA from 1 species